rnacentral:lncRNA from 1 species
UUAGCAUUUGUAAUUCUUUUUCUAAUUCAGUAAUCCUACUAUUUUUAGUUUCCUCUAUUUUUCGUAUUUCUUCUGUAGUUUGUUGUUUUAUUUUAUCUAUUUCUUUUUACCUAUCUAUUUCUUCAUUUUCUUUUGCUAUUCUUACCAUAGCUUUUAAUUUAUCUUCUAAUUUUAAUUCUUCUUUUUGUGCUUUUAUUGAUUUUUGACA